rnacentral:miRNA from 1 species
UGGAACUGUUGUCCUUGGCAU